GGCGGACGGGUGAGUAAUGUCUGGGAAACUGCCUGAUGGAGGGGGAUAACUACUGGAAACGGUAGCUAAUACCGCAUAACGUCGCAAGACCAAAGAGGGGGACCUUCGGGCCUCUUGCCAUCAGAUGUGCCCAGAUGGGAUUAGCUAGUAGGUGGGGUAACGGCUCACCUAGGCGACGAUCCCUAGCUGGUCUGAGAGGAUGACCAGCCACACUGGAACUGAGACACGGUCCAG
rnacentral:rRNA from 1 species